UGACAGCGAUUGCUAUUGAGAACUAUUGUUUGAUACAAAGUUAAAUAGCUAUAUGCAAUUUUUCGAGACUAAUUAAUGAAAUAUUGAGAAAUUGUGAAAUAGCAAGAUUUUGAAUUACAGGCCCUACACUUUCCGCAUUUAGCAAACAGUAAAAAUAAUGUAUACAAAAGAACAUGAGAAGACUUAUCUUUAUCUAAAUACUAGCCGGAUGUUACACGCAGCCUGCGGGCCUUAGUUUAUGUCUUUACUAAUCUAAUGGAUUGGAUUAAGAUGUAUGUCAAAGUUAGCUAUUGAUCCUUUUAAGUUUUUCUCUU